CGAAAAACCUUACCUACCCUUGACAUGCCACUAACGAAGCAGAGAUGCAUUAGGUGCUCGAAAGAGAAAGUGGACACAGGUGCUGCAUGGCUGUCGUCAGCUCGUGUCGUGAGAUGUUGGGUUAAGUCCCGCAACGAGCGCAACCCUUGUCAUUAGUUGCUACGAAAGGGCACUCUAAUGAGACUGCCGGUGACAAACCGGAGGAAGGUGGGGAUGACGUCAAGUCCUCAUGGCCCUUAUGGGUAGGGCUUCACACGUCAUACAAUGGUACAUACAGAGGGCCGCCAACCCGCGAGGGGGAGCUAAUCCCAGAAAGUGUAUCGUAGUCCGGAUUGGAGUCUGCAACUCGACUCCAUGAAGUUGGAAUCGCUAGUAAUCGCG
rnacentral:rRNA from 1 species